rfam:Ailuropoda melanoleuca scaffold2181_12, whole genome shotgun sequence.
CCAAAGGCCUUUCUUAAGGCCAUUAGUUUAAAGUGACCAAGUGAGG